UGUAUCUGAAGUCUGACGAGGAUGAGAACCUCCGGGGGCAAGAGGUUCGACUCGAGCGAAGCGAGAGAACGUUGCG
rnacentral:sRNA from 4 species